GGAUGAUUGAUCAUACCCGCCAGCUCACUAAUAUCAUAAUUAACAAAGUCGCUGCUACAUCAGAGAAGUUAAAUCGAAAAAUUUGGCAGCAGUAUGAUGGCAUUGUCACAAAGAUCACUACCAUUGAAGAGUCAACAUUUGCUCAUGUGAAGCUGCAGGACUAUGUGGACCAGCCAAGGAGUGUUGAGCUUUCAGAAAUAAA
rfam:Xenopus laevis strain J chromosome 3S, whole genome shotgun sequence.